rnacentral:rRNA from 1 species
UACGUAGGGUGCAAGCGUUGUCCGGAAUUAUUGGGCGUAAAGAGCUCGUAGGCGGUUAGUCACGUCGGCUGUGAAAACCUGGGGCUCAACUCUGGGCGUGCGGUCGAUACGGGCAUCACUUGAGUUCGGCAGGGGAGACUGGAAUUCCUGGUGUAGCGGUGAAAUGCGCAGAUAUCAGGAGGAACACCGGUGGCGAAGGCGGGUCUCUGGGCCGAUACUGACGCUGAGGAGCGAAAGCAUGGGUAGCGAACAGG